AAGGAAAACAUACGAGCAUAAGAAAAACGAGUCAUGAGUUUGAAUUUCAAAAUGGCGUCCGUGAAGUUGACACGUGUGGUGCGUAACAAGUGUUUCCGUGGAAAAAAUAGUUAAUCUUUCGUCUCGACUAUUCUGUUACAUCGUUUUCAUAGGUGGAUCGAGUUUGGCGAGUGUGGUCGCUGGGAGCAAGCCGACGAGACUUUUGAAUAAACCGGAUUUCGACGACAUCGGCCCACGAAAUGUCACCGCCAUUGUUGGCCAAACAGCGGAAUUGAAUUGCUUCGUGAAACAUCCUGGAGACAGAGUGGUAUCCUGGAUGCGUAAAAGGGAUUUACACAUACUCACGUCGUCCAUCUAUACGUACACGGGGGACGAAAGAUUUUCGGUGAAGCAUCCCGAGGCAUCCGACGAAUGGACGUUGAAGAUCGAUUACGUUCAGCAACGCGACGCCGGGGUUUACGAAUGCCAGGUUAACACCGAGCCCAAAAUGAAUUUAGCCUUCGUUUUGAGAGUGGAAG
rnacentral:misc_RNA from 1 species